AGCUGAACCAGGAGAAAAUAAUCUUGCAAGACCUACUUGGAGCUGAUUUUUCUGAGGAGAGCUGUUUGUUUGUGAGCCCAGGCUGCACAGAGGUCUGGAGGUCUCACUAAGGUAGGGUAGAUAUCUAUACAAGUCACCCAGUGAGGUAGGAGGAAGGCAAGGAUCCUCAGGUCUGCUGUCGUUUAUCCUGGCCUUCCUCCUAGGCCUCUUGCCAUUCUCCGUAUCUGCACUUUGGUCUGUACAAAUCCACCGUUGUCAACAUCCCAGAAAUACUGCUACAAAUUUUCCCCUACAGCCAGACAGCUGAGCAGGAUUUCAGGAUGUGUUUCCUCAGUUACAGACUCCUCCUUCUAUAUACAGCAUAGGAUGAAACAGGGAGCAUGCAAGAGGCCUAUAUAGCUUUAAUGGACUCUGCUUUAUUACUGAGUUGCAUUAUCCAAGCUUCCCAGCUGGAACAGGCAAUUUCGGUCACUGCAGAGAAUGAUAAGGUCUCCCCUGAGACUCCUCUUCGCUGCUAUCCCCUCACCUAUCAAGCCAGUCAUUUCGUCAUAGAAGUUUAUUGAGUUGGGCAAGCACUAAGUUGAGUACCUUCUGGAUGCUGAAUUAGAAAUGACUUAAGUUCACUGAAGUCAAUGGAGGCUUUGCUUUGUGAAGACAUCUAAAACUCCCAGUGCGAAGUUACCUGAAUCUGGCCACGUUUGAGAUCACUGUGCAAUGAAGAUGCAAAAUGAGAAGAUGGAAAAGGAAGAAGAGACCACCAGAUCAGAAUCCACAGCAACUUAGAAGUGGUUAAUCGGCAGCAUAAGGCAUUUGUGAUUCUUUACUCAUUUCUUUCAGAUCUUAAAACAGUGGAAAAUCUGUUAAACAAAACUCUCCUGGUUGAUACUAUUAACAAGAUUUCUAUGGGCUCAGUGGAAAAUUCUAGAUACAGAAAAAACUGACAGCCGGGGGAACCUGGUUCCAAAAGGCUCCCAUGAUGCCACCUGGGGAGCAACAGAGUGAGUGCAGGGAUGACUAAUGAAAUGUGUCCAAGGACACUGGAAGCAAACGUGGCUUCUUCACAUAGGAGCAGAUGAUAUAGUGAGGAUGAAACAGAUGACCACAAAUAAGAAUGGUCUGAGACAGUGGGAAACAGUUUUGAAGGAAAACAGAGAGAUCCAGCUAUAAACCAGAUGGGAAAAGCAAAAACAAGUGAAGGUACCAGUGAGAAUACCAGGUUACUGGUCAAACUGACAUGGAAGAAAUUGAUUCAGAAAGGAAAAGCUUUUAAAGGGGAAAGUAUCUUCUUUCUGCUAUGUCCAGUAUGACUAAAUGAAAUAAACUCAGGCAUUUCUGAUCUUCCUUUCAAUAGAAACUCUCCAAGGCUUCCCUGGCCUCUGCAGGCAAUCACUUUAGGCUCUGAAGCAUGAGAUUUGAUUACCAUUGUAAUUAUCUUAGCUUGUAUUGAUAUGAAUGUUACUAAUGGUCAUAAAAUUAUCCAGCGUGGGCUCCCCUUUCCCCUUCCUUUUAGCCAGCCUCCAUGUUAGUGUCCUUAACUUCAGGGCUGUGAAUUUCUGAAGGGAGUACAUGCUGCAAAAGUCACUUCACUCCUCAGAUUCGUUCUAAAUAUACAGCUUUUUACAAUCCCCAGCCCACAGCUUCCCUUGGGUUUCUAAAGGAUUUCAAAUAAUGAAAAGUGAAUUGGGAAAUGAACUAUUGUUACGGGUGAAUUUUAUCAGAUAGUUUUAUGGAAAUUGCUGGAUUAUUUAUAUAUACUGUAAUUGUAACACGAAUCACUAAAUACAUUUGAACACUAAAUGUACUGCUUAUUAAUUUACAUUUUAAGAGUCCCCUUGUUCUUGCAUUAUGUGACAAUAUAAAAAGCACAGACUGAUUAGUUUUCACUAUUUCUCAGAUAAUUACGAAUACCUUAAUCAAGUCUCUUCUAGUUCCUUUUUAAAAUAAUUUAAAAAAAAAUAUUUCAG
ensembl:lncRNA